CUGAGCAUGCGCACGAAUCACCAUCCGGCGCGCCGUCGAAAGCCAAGGGGAGAGGACGUUGUGAGCGCUUCGGUUUCGUGCUGUACGGAAAUGCGAGAAAGCUCUCGUAAUGACUACAACAAAGAGGAGCGAUCCUGACACCCCCACACUGUGGCACGAUGCAGAGCUCUGCUGGAAUUAAUCACCACGGUAGCCGGCCGUUCCCACUCACCCUCCCCUUCCCGUGGGCACGGCCAUCACUGUCCACCUUUGCAUACAGUUAAGGUUGGCACACAGAGGGAAAGAGAGAAAAGAGAAGGCAAG